rnacentral:misc_RNA from 1 species
GGCCAGUAUCUGUUUAGUUAGAGAAUUUGUGGAUUUGGUCAAGUGGGUUCAUUUGUUAAAAAAUUUUCUCCCUCAAACCUUUUUGCUGUAUUCAAUGCUCUCCUGAAAACGACAAGUCGUUGUUCUGGAAAUCGUCAUAAUGCGACAGCUCCCUUAAUGAAACAAACGAUAACAAGACCAUCUGCACCUCUAAUCAAACGACAAGGCGUUCUCUUUCCAACAUGUCCACUCUGGCAAUCCGCUAAAGAGAAUGGUUAGAUGAACAUCCAUCAACGCUUCAAAUCAAGCGUAUUCAUUUGACGCGGAUUGAACUUAU